CUCCUGAGACCCCAGGAGUGAAAUCGACAGCAGUUCACUGGGGCCCUAUCUGAGUUUUAAAGGGGAAAACUUUCAGGUCUGGGGAACAGAGGCCUGGACUAAACCAUCUCAGUGAGGCGUCAAGGCCUCUCAGCGCCUAGAUGGGAACAGGCCCACGGGCUCCUGUCACCUGGAAUGAAGAGGAGAUCCUCCGAGGAGACCACACAAUGUCCUCGGUAUGCGGCCCGUGAGUCUGCAUCCUCAGCUUCACCAAAAGGCCUGUGGCCACUUACAAAAUGACCCUGCACGGGAAAACUCCUGGACCUACGGGAUGCCGGCUCUGAGGACACGAUUCUGAGUCACUGCACUGAGGACAUCAUGCUGACAGAACACGGAGAGUAGACGUGGAGAGUGGAAGAUACCCUGUAUGUUUUGAUGGGACACAUGGAUGUGACAGGAUGGAAGAUGAAUACAUUUCAGACAAAAAUGCCAACGUCUGUCUCCUUGGUGGAGAUCCUGGGGUCCAGUGAGCUGGGGCAUUUGGGGCCGUCAUUUCCUAUUUGGAGGAAAGCUGCUGUGCAUUGCAUUCUCUACGGUCCAGAAAGACGCGUAGUACUAGGCGACUCUGGAUUUUGGAGGUAACCUUCAGCAGAUCUGAGUGUGCUGCUCUGAGGGAGGGACCUGAAAGGCCUCCAGGUUUGCACAGGGCAUGAUGCACGAGGAGGCAGCGGAGCUCCUGGUCCACACUGCCUGGAAGGAGCGAGGGCCUGAGGGAAAGUCAACACUGAUGUAUGGACAGCGCCUAAAUGUCCUGACUGGGAAGGAUGGGUGAGAAGGAAUUGUCAGCAUGCCAAGAGAUGGGCAGACAGAAUGCCCCAGGAGAGAGGAGUAUUUUUCUCACUGACAUUGUUCAGAAAAUCUAGAACAUGGUGAUAACAAAAAGCAG
rnacentral:lncRNA from 1 species